GGUUCCUGGAAAUAUCCCUCCAUUAGAUCGUACCCUAAACCAACACAGGUGGACUGGUAGAGAAUACCAAGGCGCUUGAGAGAACUCGGGUGAAGGAACUAGGCAAAAUGGCACCGUAACUUCGGGAGAAGGUGCGCCGGUGAGGGUGAAGCACUUGCUGCGUAAGCCCACGCCGGUCGAAGAUACCAGGCCGCUGCGACUGUUUAUUAAAAACACAGCACUCUGCAAACACGAAAGUGGACGUAUAGGGUGUGACGCCUGCCCGGUGCCGGAAGGUUAAUUGAUGGGGUUAGCUAACGCGAAGCUCUUGAUCGAAGCCCCGGUAAACGGCGGCCGU
rnacentral:rRNA from 1 species